UACGUAGGCAGCGAGCGUUGUUCGGAAUUACUGGGCGUAAAGAGUGUGUAGGCGGUGCUCUAAGUUCGGUGUGAAAUCUCCUGCUUAACUGGGAGGUGCGCCGGAAACUGGAGUGCUCGAGCGUGGAGAGGAAGCGGAAGUACUCGGUGUAGCGGUGAAAUGCGUAGAUAUCAGGAGGAACACCUGUGGUGUAGACCGGCUUUCUGGGACCAUAGCUGACGCUGAGACACGAAAGCGUGGGUAGCAAACAGG
rnacentral:rRNA from 1 species